rnacentral:lncRNA from 1 species
GGGUUUAAAACAAAAGAUUGCGUGGCUUUUAUAACAUAGAGCAAUAUUUAACUUGUAUGCCACUUUUAUUCACAAAACAAUUUCUUUUCUGGUCCUAAUGGACAGAGAACAAGUUUAAAUAAUUUUACAGCAAGAUAACAUGCUCAAAACUAUUUUGAAACAAUUCAUUUGAAACUUAAACCAUAAACCAUCAUUCUGUAAAUAGCUACUGUCCAAGUUGUUCCAAACUGAAAUUAAACAGUGCCAAAAUAUUCUACACGUUGUGACGAUUCCAGAAAGGUGUGGAUCGUAAAUUUUGGACAAACGGUUUGAAAGAUAUGAGGCUUUGAAGUUACAGGGGCUUUUCUGCAAAAUCGCAUUAUCUAAUUCGGCCGAAAAGAAAAUAAAAUAAAAUAAAAAGGGCACUCCCACGUGGCAGGACAAGAGUGGCCGAAGCCUAGGGUUUCGGCCGGUGGGAUAGCUCGCCGGACGGCGGC